CCUACGGGAGGCAGCAGUGGGGAAUAUUGGACAAUGGGCGCAAGCCUGAUCCAGCAAUGCCGCGUGAGUGAUGAAGGCCUUCGGGUCGUAAAGCUCUUUUACCAGGGAUGAUAAUGACAGUACCUGGAGAAUAAGCUCCGGCUAACUCCGUGCCAGCAGCCGCGGUAAUACGUAGGAUCCGAGCGUUGUCCGGAGUUACUGGGUGUAAAGGGUGCGUAGGCUGUUCUGUGCGUCAGAGGUGAAAUCCACGGGCUUAACUCGUGGGGUGCCUUUGAUACGGCAGGGCUUGAGUACGAGAGAGGUGCGUGGAAUUCCUGGUGUAGCAGUGAAAUGCGUAGAUAUCAGGAGGAACACCGGUGGCGAAGGCGGCGCACUGGCUCGUAACUGACGCUGAGGCACGAAAGCGUGGGGAUCAAACAGGAUUAGAUACCCUGGUAGUCCACGCCUUAAACGAUGCAUGCUUGGUGUUGGUCUCGCAAGAGAUCAGUGCCGUAGUUAACAUGAUAAGCAUGCCACCUGGGGAGUACGAUCGCAAGGUUGAAACUCAAAGGAAUUGACGG
rnacentral:rRNA from 1 species